rnacentral:rRNA from 1 species
ACCGUGGUAAUUCUAGAGCUAAUACAUGCUUAAACGCCCGACUUUAUGGAAGGGUGGUAUUUAUUAGACUGAAGCCAAUAUUCCUUGUGUCUAUUGCGGUGAUUCAUAAUAACUGAUCGAAUCUCUUUUUGAGAUAAAUCAUUCAAGUUUCUGCCCUAUCAGCUUUCGAUGGUAGUGUAUUGGACUACCAUGGCAGUAACAUGUAACGAAGAAUUAGGGUUCGAUUUCGGAGAGGGAGCAUGAGAAACGGCUACCACAUCUAAGGAAGGCAGCAGGCGCGUAAAUUACCCAAUCCUGACUCAGGGAGGUAGUGACAAGAAAUAGCAAACCGGGAACCUUAUGGUUUCACGGUAUUGCAAUGAGAACAAUUUAAAACCCUUAGCGAGAAUCAAGUGGAGGACAAGUCUGGUGCCAGCACCCGCGGUAAUUCCAGCUCCACUAGCGUAUAUUAAAGUUGUUGCAGUUAAAAAGCUCGUAGUUGAACCUCUGUCUGGGGCUAGUUUUGGCUUUGGUCAGGCUAGUUCUAGGCAUCCGCCUACAAGACUUAGAGGGCAUUCAGUUGUUCACUAGGAGGAGUAGGCAUUUUACUUUGAAAAAAUUAGAGUGUUUAAGGCAGGCAAUUGCCCGCAUAUAUUAGCAUGGAAUAAUAGAAUAGGACACUUUUCCAUUUCGUUGGUUAUUGGAAUCGUGUAAUGAUUAAUAGGGACAGUUGUGGGCAUUUGUAUUUAAUUGUCAGAGGUGAAAUUCUUGGAUUUAUUAAAGACAAACUAACGCGAAAGCAUUUGCCAAGGAUGUUUUCAUUAAUCAAGAACGAAAGUUAGGGGAUCAAAGACGAUCAGAUACCGUCCUAGUCUUAACUAUAAACUAUUCCGACUCAAUGUUUGACUGGCUUAUAUAACCAGUUGAGCGUUGUAUGAGAAAUCAAAGUCUUUAGGUUCUGGGGGGAGUAUGGUUGCAAAGCUGAAACUUAAAGGAAUUGACGGAAGAGCACAACCAGGAGUGGAUUCUGCGGCUUAAUUUGACUCAACACGGGGAAACUUACCAGGUUAAAACAAUAGUGGGAUUGACAGUUUGAGAGCGCUUUCUUGAUUGGUUGGGUGGUGGUGCAUGGCCGUUCUUAGUUGGUGGAGUGAUUUGUCUGCUUAAUUGCGUUAACGAACGAGACCUUAACCUGCUUACUAGACUGGCGAUCAUCAAUCGUUAGCUCUUCUUAGAGGGACUUUGGUUGUUUUAACUCCAAGGAAGUUUGAGGCAAUAACAGGUCUGUGAUGCCCUUAGAUAUCCUGGGCCGCACGCGUCAUACAAUGACUAGUUCAGAAAGUUUUCUCCUGACCCGAAAGGGGAUGGGUAAUCUUGAUAAUAU